GCCGAGGUGGCAGAGCGGACCAAUGCGAUCGGCUCGAGACCGGUUUCCCCUGACGGGGUGCUUGGGUUCGAAUCCCAACCUCGGCG
rnacentral:tRNA from 1 species